AACGAACGCUGGCGGCAGGCUUAACACAUGCAAGUCGAGCGGAGAUGAGGUGCUUGCACCUUAUCUUAGCGGCGGACGGGUGAGUAAUGCUUAGGAAUCUGCCUAUUAGUGGGGGACAACAUUCCGAAAGGAAUGCUAAUACCGCAUACGUCCUACGGGAGAAAGCAGGGGAUCUUCGGACCUUGCGCUAAUAGAUGAGCCUAAGUCGGAUUAGCUAGUUGGUGGGGUAAAGGCCUACCAAGGCGACGAUCUGUAGCGGGUCUGAGAGGAUGAUCCGCCACACUGGGACUGAGACACGGCCCAGACUCCUACGGGAGGCAGCAGUGGGGAAUAUUGGACAAUGGGGGGAACCCUGAUCCAGCCAUGCCGCGUGUGUGAAGAAGGCCUUAUGGUUGUAAGGCACUUUAAGCGAGGAGGAGGCUACUGAGACUAAUACUCUUGGAUAGUGGACGUUGCUCGCAGAAUAAGCACCGGCUAACUCUGUGCCAGCAGCCGCCGUAACAC
rnacentral:rRNA from 1 species